rnacentral:rRNA from 1 species
UACGGGGGGGGCAAGCGUUGUUCGGAAUUACUGGGCGUAAAGGGCGCGUAGGCGGUACGACAAGUCGGGAGUGAAAGCCCGGGGCUCAACCCCGGGACUGCUUUCGAAACUGUCGAACUUGAGUGCAGAAGAGGCAACUGGAAUUCCCAGUGUAGCGGUGAAAUGCGUAGAUAUUGGGAAGAACACCUGAGGCGAAGGCGGGUUGCUGGGCUGACACUGACGCUGAGGCGCGAAAGCCAGGGGAGCGAACGGG